UACGUAGGGUGCGAGCGUUAAUCGGAAUUACUGGGCGUAAAGUGUGCGCAGGCGGCCGCGCAAGUCGAGUGUGAAAUCCCCGAGCUUAACUUGGGAAUUGCGCUCGAAACUACGUGGCUGGAGUGUGGCAGAGGAAGGUGGAAUUCCACGUGUAGCAGUGAAAUGCGUAGAUAUCAGGAGGAAUACCGAUGGCGAAGGCAGGUCUCUGGGCUGACACUGACGCUCAUGCACGAAAGCGUGGGGAGCAAACAGG
rnacentral:rRNA from 1 species